UACAGAGGUGGCAAGCGUUGUUCGGAAUUACUGGGCGUAAAGGGCGCGUAGGCGGCCCGUCAAGUCCCGUGUGAAAGCCCCCGGCUCAACCGGGGAACGGCGCGGGAAACGAGCAGGCUUGAGUUCGGGAGAGGGAAGCGGAAUUCCGGGUGUAGCGGUGAAAUGCGCAGAUAUCAGGAGGAACACCGAUGGCGAAGGCAGGUCUCUGGGCCACUACUGACGCUGAGAAGCGAAAGCAUGGGGAGCGAACAGG
rnacentral:rRNA from 1 species